GGGGGCAUAGCUUAGUGGUAAAGCAGUAGACUCUUAAUCUAUUGACUGGGGUUCGAUUCCCCGUGCCCCUA
rnacentral:tRNA from 1 species